CGGACGAGUAGCGCAGCUUGGUAGCGCAACUGGUUUGGGACCAGUGGGUCGGAGGUUCGAAUCCUCUCUCGCCGACCA
rnacentral:tRNA from 1 species